rnacentral:misc_RNA from 1 species
AACAUCGCGCACCUGCGGGAACCUGCGGAAGGAUCAUUACAGAGUUGCAAAACUCCCUAAACCAUUGUGAACGUUACCUAAACCGUUGCUUCGGCGGGCGGCCCGGGUCCUUCCCGGCGCCCAUCGGCCCUCGCGGGCGCCCGCCGGAGGUAAACCAAACUAUUGCAUUGUAUGGCCUCUCUGAGUCCUCUGUACUGAAUAAGUCAAAACUUUUAACAACGGAUCUCAGAUCGGAAGAGC